CAGGCGGUCUCUGACGGCAUCAUCUCAACAAAAGAAAAGAAUUGUUUACUCAUUGAGAAUCCCACUAUUUCAACAUUUUACUUACUUCCUAAAGUUCACAAACAAGCCUCCACACCACCAGGACACAACAGAUGCUCUUCGCAGGAUGGAAUUAUUACAUCUGGAUUCUGAUAUGUGGAUCGUUACCUGUGACGUGGAAUCCCUGUAUACAUCUAUACAUCACGAGGAUGGCCUCAGAGCUACACAGGCGUUCCUGCUCAUGUCCGGAAUGGAUGAAAAUCAAGGGUCGAAGCAUGGGCCAGAUAUAUUGAUGACGUGAUCUUCAUCUGGAAAGGAACCGAGGACGAAUUGAGAACAUUCAUGAGCCACCUUAACUCAAAUGACUUAAACAUCAAGUUGACAUACAAGAAUCAUCGCACCCUCGUAGUCUCAUCAGAGGGAUCCCUAUGGGACAAUUUUUGAGACUAAGGAGAAUCUGUUCAACAGAUGAGGGAUUCGAAGCAAGGGCAUGUGAACUCUGGGAGCGAUUCCGAGAAC